GACGAACGCUGGCGGCGUGCUUAACACAUGCAAGUCGAACGGAAAGGCCCUGCUUGCAGGGUACUCGAGUGGCGAACGGGUGAGUAACACGUGGGUGAUCUGCCCUGCACUUCGGGAUAAGCCUGGGAAACUGGGUCUAAUACCGGAUAGGAGCCCCUUUUAGUGUGAUGGUUGGAAAGUUUUUUCGGUGUAGGAUGAGCUCGCGGCCUAUCAGCUUGUUGGUGGGGUAAUGGCCUACCAAGGCGGCGACGGGUAGCCGGCCUGAGAGGGUGGACGGCCACAUUGGGACUGAGAUACGGCCCAGACUCCUACGGGAGGCAGCAGUGGGGAAUAUUGCACAAUGGGCGCAAGCCUGAUGCAGCGACGCCGCGUGGGGGAUGACGGCCUUCGGGUUGUAAACUCCUUUCGCUAGGGACGAAGCUUUUUGUGACGGUACCUAGAUAAGAAGCACCGGCUAACUACGUG
rnacentral:rRNA from 1 species